rnacentral:rRNA from 1 species
AGAGUUUGAUCCUGGCUCAGAUUGAACGCUGGCGGCAUGCCUAACACAUGCAAGUCGAACGGCAGCACAGUAAAGGCUUCGGUCUUUACGGGUGGCGAGUGGCGGACGGGUGAGUAACGCGUAGGAAUCUGUCCUGGAGAGAGGGAUAACCCGAGGAAACUCGGGCUAAUACCACAUGAUAUCGAGAGAUCAAAGCAGGG